GUGGGGAAUUUUGGACAAUGGGCGCAAGCCUGAUCCAGCAAUGCCGCGUGCAGGAAGAAGGCCUUCGGGUUGUAAACUGCUUUUGUACGGAACGAAAAGGCUCUGGUUAAUACCUGGGGCUCAUGACGGUACCGUAAGAAUAAGCACCGGCUAACUACGUGCCAGCAGCCGAGGUAAUACGUAGGGUGCAAGCGUUAAUCGGAAUUACUGGGCGUAAAGCGUGCGCAGGCGGUUUUGUAAGACAGACGUGAAAUCCCCGGGCUCAACCUGGGAAUGGCGUUUGUGACUGCAAAGCUGGAGUGCGGCAGAGGGGGAUGGAAUUCCGCGUGUAGCAGUGAAAUGCGUAGAUAUGCGGAGGAACACCGAUGGCGAAGGCAAUCCCCUGGGCCUGCACUGACGCUCAUGCACGAAAGCGUGGGGAGCAAACAGGAUUAGAUACCCUGGUAGUCC
rnacentral:rRNA from 1 species